ACGGCAGCACCCUCGCCGGCUCCCGCUCCCCCACCCUGGGCGCCAGGCCCAACUCACCAGGCCGCGAGCGGGGACGGCCACCCCCUUCCGAAAGGUGCGCCGGAGGGAGGAGGCGAAGGGAGGAUCUGCUCGCCACCUCUCCCUCACGGGCCGGCCGGCGGGCCGCGCGGGUCCUCCAGAGGCAAGGCCUCCCAGAGGAGGCUCCAGGAGACAAAGACCCCAGGAGGGGGCAGCGUUCCGUGCAUGGGCAGAAGACUUUGGGGGAGCCGCUGGCCUUCUGUGCUAACCAGCCCCUGGUGGGCAGCCUGCGGCUGUGGCCCUCUGUUUUUAACAUGCUUUCACUGGACGGCCCCUGUGUUCCUGAAUUGCUGAUUUGCAGGGAAUCUGGGCACAACCUUAAUAAUAUCAGGGCCCAAAAUAACAAGGUUCCUGGGAACCAGAGCAUGAUAAGAGCAAGAAGCCAUUUCACCAUCCAGAGAAGAGGAAAGACUGUUUUUCUCUUCAGAGUUUCCAGUCCCUGAGGAAAAAAGGCCAGCAAGGAAGCAUGGAGUAUAACACAAUUUAGAAAAUGCCCUGGGGAAAAACCAGAAGGAAGAUCAAGAAAAGGAAGAGGAAGAGCAGCAAGUCAAUGUUCUAAGGUAGCAGACCACCACUGACUCCACUUCUGAUGGUUUUAUGUGCUGGUGAUCCAACUGAUGGCUCUUCCAGGCCCUUCUUUGCCUCAGAAGUCCCUUGUUUAUGCCUGCAUUUGACCUUUGUCUUAGUCGGACAGUCCCACCACCAAGAGACAUGAGAAAAAGCCAUCGAAUUCAAAUCAAUAAAACUGUACUUCUUAUCCUUUUAAGAGGAGGGCUGGAAGAAUUAAAUACUUGACCAUAAUAAUAAUAGCAUUUAUUAAGCACUUA